rnacentral:rRNA from 1 species
UUGGGGUUUCGGCCCCGAGGGAGUGGCGCACGGGUGAGUAGCGCGUGGGAACCUGCCCUGGAGUGGGGGAUAACCGAGGGAAACUUCGGCUAAUACCGCAUGCGCCCCGGUGAUGAGCCGGGGGAAAGAUUGAUCGCUCUAGGAGGGGCCCGCGUCGGAUUAGCUGGUUGGUGGGGUAACGGCCUACCAAGGCACCGAUCCGUAGCUGGUCUGAGAGGAUGAUCAGCCACACUGGGACUGAGACACGGCCCAGACUCCUACGGGAGGCAGCAGUGGGGAAUAUUGGACAAUGGGCGCAAGCCUGAUCCAGCAAUGCCGCGUGAGUGAUGAAGGCCUUCGGG